GAGGAUGCGAGCGUUAUCCGGAUUCAUUGGGUUUAAAGGGUGCGUAGGCGGAAGGUCAAGUCAGCGGUCAAAUCGGGAGGCUCAACCUCCCCCCGCCGUUGAAACUGGCCUCCUUGAGUGGGCGAGAAGUACGCGGAAUGCGUGGUGUAGCGGUGAAAUGCAUAGAUAUCACGCAGAACUCCGAUUGCGAAGGCAGCGUACCGGCGCCCAACUGACGCUGAAGCACGAAAGCGUGGGUAGCGAA
rnacentral:rRNA from 1 species